ensembl:lncRNA
CUGAAUUUGAUUUUUUCACACCACCACCAGCAUCAAAAUUAAUUAUUUUGAUGAAGUCACAGAACCUGACAGAAUGUGUUGUGUAGAGCAACACAUGGAGUAUAUCUGACAUAACAGAUAUAUUUUGGUUUUGUUUUACAUUUUCAAGUAAAAAGUAUUUAUUGUUGUACACAUAUAAGUGCUACAAAUUGCAAUUUAAAUGUACAUUGUUUUAUUUUUGUACAGAGAGAGGAGAAAGGGGACUAUACUGCUGAGGCGCAGUUUGUUGAUGAACGUGGAAAUGUUCUUGCUAGAAAGGACCGGAAAGCCACUGCCAAAUCAUCCUCCACCGAAACACAACCAGGCCGCAAAGGAAAAUGAGCAAAGGAGACAAAGACUAAGAAGUGCAAACUACAAAAUGACACACACACAGAAUUAUCCUUUACGUGUGACCAUGGAGCACCAUAAAAGAAAAAGAAGAGGAGAAAAAAAAAAGCGGAGUUGUAGUUUUAUAACAUUUGUAAAGAAAAAUAUCAACCAGACUAAAGCAUGAUGAUUUUUUUUUACAAAAAAAAGAUAAAUGUCUAUAAAAGAACCAAGAAAAAAAAAAAAGCAACAAAAAGUGCUUCCUGUGAACUGUAAUCGCAUGAUGACUGCUGGUGCAUGCCCUUUGACCUUUUGAACUGUCAUUAUCUACAAACUGAAGGGGUACAAGGUACGGGGCUGGCCCACAUGUGGGUCAUGGGCCAUUUUAAGGACCUUUCCCCCCAAUUCUGAAGUGGUUUGUGUCAGCAAGUUGAGUCCAAUAACACUACAGCCAAAAAAAAAGUCCCGCGCUGGAUGGUUCUGUACACAGCUAAGCCUCUGCUGAGCCGACCAAUGCUUCUGUCACUGGACCCUUUCCCCUGUUACUCUCAAUGUGAUAUAUGCACUCUAUGCUACGUGGACAUGUAUUGGUGUGUGUAUGUGUGUAUGUAUGUGUGCUUGUAUUCUUCUCUACCGCAUGUGUUUUCUCGCUUCUGGCUUGGCGCUGAGCCCUGCCCCAUGACUGGCUUACGCCCCCGUGAUGUCACAGCGUACUCAGCGCUAGAAUGAGAAAGCCGCUGUGCUCCCUUGCUCGUGAGUGUCUGCGUGUGCCGAUGUCUUUUCCUUUGUGGAUGAAGCUCGCUAUUUGUUAUUUGUUUCUUUGGAACCUGUCCACCUGAGUUUUAAGCAUAGUUUGACUUCGGUAGGGGACUGGAUCUCUUUCGCCCCACGUGUUUGCAGGAAAAAUGUGUGUUGUUGUUUUUUUUUUUCAGACAACAGGAAUGUUUUCUGUGGGAAGGGGGUGGGUUACUUGAUUGCAUUGUGCUGCAGGUCUACGACAAAAAGAUCGACGUUCUCCUCCAUCGUGACCUUUAUACCUUCUUCCGUCAUUUCUCCCAGUAGCACGUCAUCUUGAUCCACAAUUUUUAUCAGUAGCCUCAGUCUAUAUGCAGAGAAAUCACAGGCCUUUCCAUCAGCAUACAAUGGUCCUACACCUAAUGUUUAAAACGUUGUAUGCUCCCUCUUUUAUCUGUUUGCAAUGGCUGUAGCUCCUCAGAGUUUGGUUCAUUCUUUUGAAACAGUGAACGAAGUGGAGAAAACGUGGAGGAUCUGAUUCACCUGAGGAUUUGGAAGAUUCGUAGCGAGCAUAAAAUAGCAUCAUGCUACAACAACGGGAUUGUUAAAGGAACUGUGUGGCAAAGACAGACAGGUAGCACUGUGAUUGUCUUAUAAACACUGACCCCAGACUCGUGAACUGUGAAGACACACAAACAAAAGCACAGAUACACACAGAAACACACAUUUAGUAGGAAUCACACUGCAUAAGGAAAUAAUUAUUGCCUGGUCAGAGUGGCGGAUAGUUGAGGAAGUUCACCACAGCAAUAAUACAAAACAAGAGGAACACUGAAGAUAGAAGCCAAGGUUGUGUACAUGUGAAUAAAGGAUUCGAUACUAAAAGGUGGAAACGACUGAGCUCCUCAGUGAAGACUGAAUCUCCAUGUGGACAAACAGCAGUCACGUUUGGCAUUGGGCAGCUGUGAUGUCCCUGACUUGCCCCAUGAGCCUAAAAGUGAAUGAGUCAGGGGGGACCCGCUAAUGCAAGAUCAGAUGACUCAGCUGUAGCAGUGUGGGACAGGGGGAAUUGUUUGUUUUUCAGCACUUAUCGUAGCAAAAUAUAAACCAGGAUAUGUUAACUUAGAACAUGGAUACCUACUGUAUUAUGGAGUCCGCUGCUGCUGUAACUCCAUUUAUUUUCCUUUUCUGAGUAAUAGUUAAGUUGUAUUUGUUAGUGUUCGACACAUUUUUUUUUAAUAAAUACACUGGCAUCACUGUAAACGCCUGUUGUUCUCUUCAUCUCUGAAAUGUUUACUUUAUGCAGAAACCUGACGGCAGCACUCUGAAGGGGUCAUAUCAUAGUAGCACACAUUUCCUGGAAAUCGUAACUCAAUAUUUACCCCACAAGUACUGUAAAUGCUACUGUAGCGUGAAUGAGUGAGACACUGAAUGACUAAAUGAACACAUGCAGAUCACACAAAUACGUGUCUUUUCCAUGCCCAGUUCGCACACGUGAGAGCCUCGUUCGAUAUAGAGCACAUGUUCAGCACAUAUCACAUUUUCCACUGGAACUUUCACUCAGGUUUUCGUUUCUGCUCGGUCAUAAUCAAAAUGUUUUCUGUAUUCAACUUCUGUGUCCUUCUCUCUUUAAAGACGAGUACGAGACACAAAGAAUAAGACUCGUGGCGUAGAGGCCGUUUGUUGGGCCGGGAUGGGGAAGCAACGAGGGGUGGGGGGGUGGCGUUGGUGUAUGAAGCAGGAUGGUUUGUGUGCAAGUGUGUGGUGGGAAUGCAUGUGUGGCGUGAGUCUCUGUGGUGGUGUGUGUGCUUUCAGAUAAGACCAAAAAAAGACACAGAGUAUCGAGUGAUUGGUCAGUAACCACGUCUCUUUACCCUGUGCACGAAACUUUGCGUGGAGAACUCCCCUUCUGAAUCGGAUUAUGUUCAUUCUAAUUCAUUCUACUAGCGAUGGCCACAAAUGAACUGGUGUGAUGCAUUACUCCCUCUACAGUGAAGUCUACACGGUUCAUUCAGUUCAGUUUGCAUCUAGACUUGCCUCAGUGGUGCAGUAGUUCAUUUUUACUGGAGGUCUCUCCCAACACAGGAAUUAAAUUACAUACCCAUGUGUGGACAUAAAAAAUGAUCAGUAUACAGACGAAUUCCUAAAAAUUACAACUCAUACAAAUAGUGAAAGGAGUUCAACGUUUUUGCUUUUUGUGGCCAAGUGGCCUGGGCUUCUAUGUAUCACUGUAGACUCAUAACGUCAUUAUUUCAGAGGAUAGGUGUCCGGAGCUUUGUUCAAAGCUGCCCACAGUGGUCCGUAAUCAAUGGAAUCUGCACUACGAUCCAUGUAACUCCACCAUGUUUGUGUUGUAUGGAUAGUAUGUAAGUGCGUGUCUGUGAGUGUGCAUGCGUGUGCAUGACGCCACGUUUGGUUGUAAACCUAUAGCUGGAUCAGCGGGAAGAAGAAGGUUUUUCUAGGCAUGUAACUGGAGAGGACGUGUAACCUACAACAAUGUAUUUUAAAAAGAGUAUUGUAAAACUUUAACUGUUGCAAAGACUAGAGAUCACCUAUACUCCUUUAGAAUGGAUACAUGACAAUGUAAACGCAAUAUCAUAUUACUCUAUCCUGAGGAAUGCAACUGCGCACAUGCACACACAAAAAAAAAUAUGUUUUUAUGAAAAUAUAUGUAUAAAUAUAUGACAAAAUAUAUUUAAUUAGAAUGCUAUGCACCCUCAUAGAGUUGUUAUGGAUGUUCUUUAAGCAUUAUCUAGACUAGGCCGACACCCACAUCAUGGGGAAUGUAGAGGCUUUGUAGCUAUGAUCACUUGUUUUCUUUUCUUUUGUAUUGUCCUUGAGAGAGGAGAAACAAACGUGAAUAUGUAAACAAGCUUUUCAAUCUGACUCAGAUAUGUAUAGAUCAUCUUACCCUGUACACCAGCUCAAACCAUUUACAAGAAUUAAUAAACAAACAUGUGAC